AAGCGUGGCAAAGUAUUGCAGACCGCCUGAAUGCGUAAGUAGUGCACAAUUACACACUCACCGCUCCGCUGAAACAUCACAAUUACAAUUCAAAUAUUUAAUUCACAUCUCCAAAAAUGCAGUUGUACUGUAAUUAUGAAACGGUUAAAUUUUUAAUUGAAAUGCACUGCAGAUAUGAGUGAAAUUGUGUAAAGUAACUCCAUCACACUGUAUAAAGCUAUGAUAAAUUUUUUGAUAUUUUUACUGAAAACAAGACAAAAAUACCAAGUAAUUUUUUGCAGUGUGACUCCAUUAAAUGUGUGUGUGUGUGUGUGUGUGUGUGUGUGUGUGUGUGUGUGUGUGUGUGUGUGUGUGUAGAUUAAACAUGAACGGGCCAAAACGGACAUGGCAGCAGGUCAAAAUCAAAUACAAGAACAUUCUGCAGAAUGCAGUGAAAAAGAAUACCCACAGACAAGGCACGGGUGGUGGGUCACCAAAGGCUGACCUUACCCCAGCAGAGGACAUGGCCUUGGAGCUAAAUAAAGGCAGGCCCGUCUUAGAGGGGAUCCCUGGGGGGAAAGAGACGAGCAUAGGUUCCUCCCAAGAUGCCACCCGCUUCAUUCAAGUGCCUGGCAGCACUGUGUUCCUGUUAGAGCCACCAGCACAAGCACCAGACGAUGCUGAUCCAGGUGAAGGCCCCAGUGCAGCAGCAACAGCACAUGAUGGAGACGAUGAUGAGGAGGAGACCAUCUCUCUGGAUUCCAGAAGGCAUGAGGACCCAGAUGCUAUACAGUGGAAAACCAGCCUGGCAACAUAGUGCGUAUUAAUAAAAGGACACCACAUCCUGCCAAAUUCCAGCUGCGCUAAUUGUAUUGUGUUCACAGAGCUCACAAGCUAUCAGAAAGUUGUAUGGCAACCACCUCCGGCGCCAAAUAGAACUGGCAGACAUAGACAUUCAGUACAAGAAGAAAAAGAUGGAAAAUCUUGCACUGGAGUCCGAAAUAAAAAGAGGACAAUUAGGAAACUGGACCUUGAAAUAAAAAACUUGAGAGGGAGGUGAGAUAUGCCUUCAAUGUACACUGUAUGCUAACUGUAACACAAAUGUAUUAAUCAUUAUUUUUCUUUCCUCCCCAGCUCCAAGAAGAUGACACAGCUCAAAAUAAAAAUUAGGUAUAUUCUCGUAAAGUCAAGUGAGCCAUGACAUAUGAGCUCUUAUUGUGAGCACACAGGACGGUGGCAUCUUUCUAAGGUUUUUUUAAUUUUCCCAGCAAUCAGUACAACCAAGUCAUCGUUAUA